rnacentral:rRNA from 1 species
UACGAAGGGGGCGAGCGUUGUUCGGAAUCACUGGGCGUAAAGCGCACGUAGGCGGAUUUGUAAGUCAGGGGUGAAAUCCCGGGGCUCAACCUCGGAACUGCCUUUGAUACUGCGAAUCUUGAGUCCGAUAGAGGUGGGUGGAAUUCCUAGUGUAGAGGUGAAAUUCGUAGAUAUUAGGAAGAACACCAGUGGCGAAGGCGGCCCACUGGAUCGGUACUGACGCUGAGGUGCGAAAGCGUGGGGAGCAAACAGG